GAGGAGAAAAGACCAAGAGAAACACCAAUGUCUGCAAAGUAAAAUUUCUUCAUUAAAAUAACAGUGAGCCACAAUUUUCUGGCAGUAAUUGGAGGUAUUUGACAGUGGAGCCCGAAAGGGAGAGAUUCAGGCAGUUGGGAACAGGCCAGAGAAGAGAGCAUUUUAAAAAAGAAUUGCUGAAACAAGCUAUUACUGAACGUCUGGGUUUCUGUUUGCCCGAAUACUCAUUACUUAUUAAGAAACUGCUCUGUCACUUUUUGGAAAGAGGAAAGAAGUGGGAAUAUGGAGAAUAAGAGAGAGAAGAAGAGCUUUGAAAGGUCAAGAGUAUUCUUGAGGACAGGAAAAAAUAAUUACUGUACAUUAAAAAAUAGUAAUCUUCUUUUUUGCUGGAAAAACAAAUCUUUUCAAAUUUCAAUUUGUCAAAAAUUACCUGACUUCUAGAACAUGCAAUUCAUUAACUCACUCCAUACCAAUAAGUUGAACAACUACAACAUCUAAAGAUUCAGAAAGACCGUGCAUCAUCUUAGUUUUUGUCAGAGGGGGUAUUUCUUUCAAACAACACAGUCAGUUGUUCCAUGUUCUAAAAGACUGUUCUUUCACUUUACUUUUAAUUCUAACAUAUCUGCUUUUUAUUUAGCAUCCAGAGAGAACCUUUGUUCCCUACAACAGGCAACAAUCCUGUUGCUAUAUCUGAUGAGAAACUUGUUAAGAGCAAAAAGCAAAGGAAGAGCUGAUGGAUUUGGAAAUUCAGGGCUUUCUGAGAAUUAGCAAUAGAAGAGCUGCAGAUGAAGCCCCUUGUGUAAGGGAAACCAACUGGAUAAGUGGUGGCUGAGAAAGAAAU